rnacentral:lncRNA from 1 species
AAUCUUUCAUUAUCCUUUUCCCUCAGUCAGAAUUAUCAAUCACAUACAAACAAGCAAAACGAUAAUUUAUGCCAAACAGAUUACAUACAGCAUCAAUAUCCCGGUCAUUCAAUCCAUAAUCAAUAAAACAGUAGAAUAUGCACACGAAACUAUAAAAUGAAAACAUCAAAUCUCAUACUGCAUUUAAAACUGUAAACAGGCCAAAUAACAGUUAACCGACAAACACACUAGACUCGGGCUCCAUUAGCGACCUUAAGCAAUUUCACACAUUCGUUGAUUCAUGAAAUACCGUUUUAUCAUUUAUUGAACUUUAAAACCGUGAUAGGAAAUAGGGUGAGGGGUCUUUACUCGUUUCGGGUUCCGAACACGGCUUCACAGUGCGUUUGCAGGCUGUCCCUAAUUUUCCCUGAAUUUUUCUCGGGGAACUGAAACGCACUACUGGUACCUGCACAUGUUCCAAAAAAUCCCAAAUUAGGCCCAGGGCCCCUUUCGGCCAAUAUCGCAACUCCGGCACGGCGGCUCCGCCGUGCUCCGGUGACGGCGCCGCCGCUUGCGGCGGCGGUUUGCCUCGGGUUGGCCGUUUUCGGCCGUUUUCGGCCGAAUUUGGCCACACUUGCAUUGGUUCCUGCGAUAAAACAACCCUACGGCCCUCGGGGGGCCAAAAAUUUACGGAAACGGAAAAUCGAAGCUUACCGGCGGCAGUGCUCUCGGGUGCGACGGCUCUCCGGUGAAGUUCGUGUUUUGGUGAUUCGGCUCCGAUCAACCUGUAGAGAAAAGAAUGGUAUCACGGUGAUAUAAAAAUUGCAUUAAACGGAGGCCGGGAAGGGCCUCAUCGGAGGCAAAAACCGAGAAGGGACGCAGCGGUGCUGCUGGCUUUCGGCCGUGUUUUUCGGCCGUUUGGCCGGGAUUUUGGCUCCGAUUUGGCCACUGGGGAAAUCACCGUGGAAAAACGAGUCGGGGGUAUGAAAUUUACCUCGAUCGGGGGUCGAAAAUCCCUCCGGUGCGGCGGCGGGUGGCGGCGGCCGGCUUCUGGUUCGUCUUCUCCGGCGAGGGCAGGCGGCUAGGGUUUGGGGUCUGGUGUGGGGGUCUUAUUUAUACCCUUUUGCCUUUUGAUCUCAGCCGUCCAUUUUGUUUUAAUCUGAGCCGUCCGUUUUUGAUUAAAUCUGGGCCGUCCGUGCGAUUAAAUCUGGGCCGUCCGUGCGUGCGAUUGAUCUGGGCCAUCCGAUCGCGCGCACGCGGAUCGCCAACGUUGCCCGUCCCCGAUCGACGUGGUUUUGCCACGUGGCAGGUCCUGGUUGGCCAGGCCUGCUGACUGAGUCUGCUGACGUGGCACGAGCGUUUUUUUUUUUUUUUUUUUUCCCCGGGCGCUACAACUCUCCCCCCCCUUAAAGAAAUUUGGUCCCCAAAUUUGCCUCGUUACUCUUGAUCGAACAGAUGGGGAUAUUGGGCCCUAAAUUCUGAUUCCAG